rnacentral:rRNA from 1 species
UACGUAGGGUGCGAGCGUUGUCCGGAAUUAUUGGGCGUAAAGAGCUUGUAGGCGGUUUGUCGCGUCUGCCGUGAAAAUUCGAGGCUCAACCUCGAACUUGCGGUGGGUACGGGCAGACUAGAGUGUGGUAGGGGAGACUGGAAUUCCUGGUGUAGCAGUGAAAUGCGUAGAUAUCAGGAGGAACAUCCGUGGCGAAGGCGGCCACCUGGACCAGUACUGACACUGAGGCACGAAAGCGUGGGGAGCAAACAGG